UUUAUAAAGCAGCGAGAUGUCGUUUUGGGUGCCGUUACAUGACCACAGGACAGCUGAACUUUCAACAUUACAACAUUGUAAAUCUGCAUUUUUUGCCUGGAUGAUUACGUGAAAUUCUGCCGUGGAAUGCAGUAAUUCUUUAAUCUGAUUAAUUUGUGUUACACUCGCCGUAUCACACAGAGCUCUCUCCUGUCUCUGCUGCCUCAAAGCCCUUCUGACUCCCUUUUCUUUUCUAGAAAUCCCUGUGCUCAAAUAAAACACUCACAAAAGGCAAAUGAAGCGACUAGAGGUAUUUUAGUUCACAGAAAAUGACUUAUUUGGGGUGUGGGGGAGAAUACCUAAAGCCUGAGCCCUAAUGCUGAUGAGACAGAAUACUUUUCUCGCGGAGACGGCGCCGACAUCUCCAAAUGUGGGGCGUGAACGCGCACGGCUGAGCUGGAGCUGUCGAGCACGAUGUCAUCCGUCCACGGGGGGAUGAGGUGCUGCUUCCCCUCACAAACAUGCAGGAGGAAUUCACAGAAUAUAACUUAAAACAGAUCCACGCCUCCUGCAGAGAUAAUAAUCCCCUGUCUGGAUCCAGCAUACAAGCGGGGUACCUCUGCGUGGAGCCUGCAGAAGCUGGUUUAGGAAGUUCUUGGUGGGAAGGCUGCGCAGUGAAAAAGCACGACAUGUCGCCAUAGAGGCAGCGGAGAUGUUCUGAAAGAAACCUCUUUGCAUCACCCAACAUCCAGAGUCUCACACGAAGGAGAUGAACACUGAACAAUCAUGUUGCAAAUCAGUGAAAUCCACUCAAAUUGAAAAUUUAAUAAUUCUGUGUGGGAGUUUAAUUCAAUUCAGUUUGUUUUAUACCGCCCAAAAUUACAAUUAAAAUGUAGGGCAGUGACAGCCUAACGGGGCAGGAAGUGGGCAUUUUACAUCCCUGUCCCAAUAGUGUGGCAGAUGGUUUGAUCCGAUCACAAGAUGGUUUCUAGUCUAUUAGUUUAUUUUUUAUUAUAAACUCAUAUUUGAUCCUCUGUUCACUUAGUGUUUGGUCAUUUGAAUUAUUAUCUUCAUAAUGUGUAGAUGUAUGGCUACAGGCUUGUUCAUAUUAAGGUUUUUUAUUGAGACUCACAUUGUACAUUUCAAGAAACUCUUCUUCGAGUUUGGAUAAAGUUACAGUCUUGUCUUGGAAAAUAUUGAUAAUCAGUCUUCUGUUUUCUUGAUAGAAUAUCAAGGUCUGAAAGGUUGUUUACUCAGAUGCAGCACAUAUUAUCCAUCUGGUGCAGUUGCAUAAAUACACU